CACGUAGGGGGCGAGCGUUGUCCGGAUUUAUUGGGCGUAAAGAGCUCGUAGGUGGCUUAGUAAGUCGGGUGUGAAACCUCCAGGCUCAAUCCUGGAGACGCCACCCGAUACUGCUAUAGCUUGAGUCCGGUAGGGGAGCGUGGAAUUCCUGGUGUAGCGGUGAAAUGCGCAGAUAUCAGGAGGAACACCAGCCGGCGAAGGCGGCGCCUCUGGGCCGGGUACUGACACUGAGGAGCGAGAGCGUGGGGAGCAAACAGG
rnacentral:rRNA from 1 species